GAUGAACGCUGGCGGCGUGCUUAACACAUGCAAGUCGAACGAAGCUGCUUAAAGGAAGUCUUCGGAUGGAAUUUAGGUAGACUUAGUGGCGGACGGGUGAGUAACGCGUGGAUAACCUGCCUUAUACAGGGGGAUAACGGAGAGAAAUUUCCGCUAAGACCGCAUAAGACCACAGCACCGCAUGGUGCAGGGGUAAAAUAUUUAUAGGUAUAAGAUGGAUCCGCGUCCGAUUAGCUAGUUGGUGAGGUAAAGGCCCACCAAGGCGACGAUCGGUAGCCGGCCUGAGAGGGUGAACGGCCACAUUGGGACUGAGACACGGCCCAAACUCCUACGGGAGGCAGCAGUGGGGAAUAUUGGACAAUGGGGGAAACCCUGAUCCAGCGACGCCGCGUGAGUGAAGAAGUAUUUCGGUAUGUAAAGCUCUAUCAGCAGGGAAGAAAAUGACGGUACCUGACUAAGAAGCCCCGGCUAACUACGUGCCAGCAGCCGCGGUAAUACGUAGGGGGCAAGCGUUAUCCGGAUUUACUGGGUGUAAAGGGAGCGCAGACGGCAAUGCAAGUCUGAAGUGAAAGGCGUGGGCUCAACCCAUGAACUGCUUUGGAAACUGUAUAGCUUGAGUGUCGGAGGGGUAAGCGGAAUUCCUAGUGUAGCGGUGAAAUGCGUAGAUAUUAGGAGGAACACCGGAGGCGAAGGCGGCUUACUGGACGACAACUGACGUUGAGGCUCGAAGGCGUGGGGAGCAAACAGG
rnacentral:rRNA from 2 species